CUUUAUCACCACACCUUUUCAAUCGUGUGCUGGGUUAUGUUUGUUUCUUUCUUUAGUUGUUUUGUUUUUCUGCCUUUUGUUUGUUUGGUUUUGGGGUUUUUGUUGCUGUUGUUGAUCUUGUGGGUGUUUGCUUUUUGUCAUAAUAGGACCUCCAAAGUCAACCAGAGUUUUUCAUGACUGUGUACAAGCAGAUGGCUUCUGGAUUCCCACUUAACUCUAGCUGAAAUCCAAGAACAAUUAGUCCUGAAACCAUGGCCCUGCUCGAUACUCACCUUCAUGAAGAGAUCACCGAAGAUGAGUGCACUGAAGAUAGCAUGUGGUGAAGAAAGCAGAUGGUACCCGGCUAUCAAUUGGAAUCGUGUCUGGGGCUUAAAGAUGCCUGUGAUUCAACAGAAGUGCCCUUUGCAUGCAGCACAGCCAACUAUGAAGGAGAUGAGACCUUGGUGGAAGUCUCCAUGGGUCUCAUCCCAUCAGCCAGUGAAGGUCCUGACAACUUUUCCCACCUGUGUUGUUAAGGUCCGUUCCACUUGGCCGCAGCAGCUC